rnacentral:rRNA from 1 species
UACAGAGGUCUCGAGCGUUAGGCGGAAUCACUGGGCUUAAAGCGUGUGUAGGUGGAUCGUUAAGUACCUUGUGAAAUCCCCCGGCUCAACCGGGGAACGGCUGGGUAUACUGGCGGUCUUGAGCCACCUAGGGGCGAGCGGAACAAGCGGUGGAGCGGUGAAAUGCGUAGAUAUCGCUUGGAACGCCGACGGUGAAAACAGCUCGCUGGGGGUGUGCUGACGCUGAGACACGAAAGCCAGGGGAGCGAACGGG